AUGCUCAUAGCACUAUAGCAGCAAUGCGGCCAGAUAAUCGGCUAGUUUGCACUAAAACCCUAAUCCAUUUUCAAAGCCAACGUCUCUUCUUCUCGCUGCAAAAUUGAAUCAAUCAACAGAACAGAAUGAAACUCUUCGAAGGCGACGACGACAACGCAAACAUCGACGUUUCGAAGAUCGAAAUUGACGAGAAAUUCGCUCGCCGAUACGAACACAAUAAGAAACGCGAGGAUUUGCAACGGUACGAAGAGCUGAAGAAGAAAGGCCAAAUUGAAGACUCCGAAUCCGAAUCGGAAUCCGAUUCAGAAUCCGACGAAGUUGAACUCAAGAAAUUAAACGAAAAAAAAGACUUCAAGGAGUUCAUCGAUAAUUUAAUCAAGGUAAAACAACGUGACCCUUCUAUUUAUCAAAAAGACGUUAAAUUAUUCGAAUCCGAUAGCGGUAGCGAUGAUAGUGAGUUAGAAAAUGAGGUUAGGAGUAGUAAAAAUAAGAAAAAAGCUGUUUAUUUGAAAGAUGUUACGGCUCAGCAUUUAAUUGAGGAGGGGGCGGAAUUCGAUGAGGAAGAAGAAGGGGAGCGGAAUAAUACCCGGAUUGAAAAUAAGACGUACAAUGAAGAGCAGGAGGAGUUGAAGAAGUCGUUUUUAGAGGCGGUGAAGGCUGAUGAGGGGAAUGAUGUUGAUAGUGAAGGGGGAUUGUUGAAAGUUAAGGAGAAGAAGAAAGGGGAUUUAGGAGAGGAAAAUGAUGUGGAGCUCGAGGAUAAGCUGCGAAAGUAUUUUGGUGAUGAGGAGGAAUUGGAUGAGAAUAAUAAGUUUUUGAAGGAUUUUAUUGAGAAACAAAUGUGGAUUGAUGGGGAUAGUAAGAGUAGAAGGGGUGUUGAUGACGAUGAAGUGGAUGAUUUAUUGAAAGAUGAUGAGGAGAUUGAGAAACAGGAAUUGUAUGAGGAGAGUUAUAAUUUUAGGCAUGAAGAGAAUCCGGGGGAUAGGGUUUUGGGUCAUUCGAGGGUAGUAGAAGGAUCGGUGAGGAAAAAAGAGAAUUCUAGGAAAGAACAGAGGAAGAGAAAGAAGGAGAGAAUGGAGAUAGCGGAAAUGGAGAGGAAGGAAGAGUUGAAGCACUUGAAGAACUUGAAAAAGAAGGAGAUGAAGGAAAAAUUGAUGAAGAUUGUGCAGGUUGCUGGGGUCGAUGAUCAUGAUGAUUUUGGUUUGGGUUUGGAUGAUUUAAAGAAGGAUUUUGAUCCAGAAGAGUAUGAUAAAAUGAUGAAGAAGGCUUUUGGCGAAAAGUAUUAUAACACAGAUGAUGUCAAUGCAGAAUUCGGGAGUGAUAACGACGAUGGCGAUGAAAAACCUGAUUUUGAUAAGGAGGAUGAAUUACUUGGACUUCCAAAAGGGUGGGAUGGAGUGGAUAAUGAGGGAUUUUUAGCUCUUAGAGAACGUCUUUUGAAACAGAAGAAUGAAAAUGGCAGUGGCAUUGGUGGUAACGAGGAAGAAAAAGAAGAGGAAGAAGAUGAUGACGAUGAGGAGGAGGAGGAAGAGGAUGGAGAAGAAGAGGAAAAAGAGGGCAAAACGAGGAGGGAUAGGGAAAGUAAGCGGAAAAGGAAGCGGAAGAAGUCGCUUCUGCAGGAAGUGAAAGAAGAAUGGUUGGAGGAGUACUAUAAGUUGGAUUAUGAGGGUACAGUUGGAGACUUGAAGACAAGGUUCAAGUACGCUAGAGUGCAACCUGAAAAAUUUGGAUUAGAUACAGCCGAGAUAUUUACUUUGGAUGACCAGGAAUUGAAUCAAUAUGUGUCUGUUAAGAAGCUUGCACCUUAUAGAGAGAGUGAAUGGAAAGUAAAUAAGUACAAGGAAAGACAGUUUAAGGAGAAGCUUAGAGAGCUCCGAGAGGGAAAAUCCGAUGACCAGAAGAACCGAAAGAAGAAUAAGUUGCAGGAUAAUGGUGAUAAAUCAACCUCAGAAAGACAGUUUAAGGAGAAGAUUAAAGAGACCCGUUUGGGAAAAUCCAAUAACCAGAAGAUUAGAAAGAAGAAUAAGUUGCAGGAUAAUGGUGACAAGUCGACCUUAGAUGGAGGUUCUCAUCAAGACGAGAAAGAAAAAGUAGAUUCUCAUCAAGACGAGAAAGAAAAAGUAGAAGUAUCAAAUGUCGAGAUGAACAAUCUUUCCAGAAAAGCCAAGAGGAAGCGUAAUCAAGCGGAGUACAAGCUUUCACAAUCUCGAAUGGAAGCUUACCAAAAUAUUCAAUCAAAGGCUAAAGGAAAACGGAAGCUCUAAAUUCAAUCAGUAAACAAGGUAGUGAAUGUGUUCUGAGCAUCUACUUUCGUUGAUUGCAUACGGAUUCGGUCUUAUGUCGUUUUUUCCUUCUUCACUAAUACAUCGGCGUUAUGCUAAGGGACCUCAAUCCCGUAUCGCAGAUUGAUAGAGAUCUCUCUAAAUGGAAGAAGAAUUAGAAGUUUUGUUGCGGCGGAUAAAAUUUUUGCACUCCAGAAUUUUGUAACAUUGUAUCUUGCUGAUUGUUUGUUUGUACUCAUCUUGAAUUUUCCAGACUGCUUCAGAUUAUUGAAUACUUGUCCUCAGAACUUUUUGUUAAAGAAUUUGCAUCUUUUUUUAUUGUAA